rnacentral:rRNA from 1 species
GAAACGGGUGGUAAUGCCGGAUGCUCCGGUUGGAUGCAUGUCCUUCCGGGAAAGAUUUCAUCGGUAUGGGAUGGGGUCGCGUCCUAUCAGGUAGUCGGCGGGGUAACGGCCCACCGAGCCUACGACGGGUAGCCGGCCUGAGAGGGCGACCGGCCACAUUGGGACUGAGAUACGGCCCAGACUCCUACGGGAGGCAGCAGUGGGGAAUAUUGCACAAUGGGCGCAAGCCUGAUGCAGCGACGCCGCGUGCGGGAUGACGGCCUUCGGGUUGUAAACCGCUUUUGAUCGGGAGCAAGCCUUCGGGUGAGUGUACCUUUCGAAUAAGCACCGGCUAACUACGUGCCAGCAGCCGCGGUAAUACGUAGGGUGCAAGCGUUAUCCGGAAUUAUUGGGCGUAAAGGGCUCGUAGGCGGUUCGUCGCGUCCGGUGUGAAAGUCCAUCGCUUAACGGUGGAUCCGCGCCGGGUACGGGCGGGCUUGAGUGCGGUAGGGGAGACUGGAAUUCCCGGUGUAACGGUGGAAUGUGUAGAUAUCGGGAA